AACUUCCUUUACCCAAAUUCAAAUGAUGAGGGUGGGAUUUGGAAUGUUCUGACCAAGGGGAUGGAGGUGUAGGAAUGCAAUGCACAGAGCUGGCAUCCAGAAGGUUGUUGGCUUUAUUCCCAGUUACCAUCUGUCAGGACCUAACUUACUCUCCUUCAGCUCCUAAAUUAUUCUCUUUUCGAGUAAUUUAAGAGCUGCUCAUGCAGUUUUGCCUCAACAUUCCAGUGCACACACUUGUGUCACAUUAAGAAAGCCGCUGGACACACCAUAAUUUUCCAUCUGCUCCAGCAGCUGCACACCACACUCCUGCUGCCGCGGGUAGUGAUUGUACAUCCGCUGGAUAAAG